GCAUCGGUGGUUUAGUGGUAAAAUUAGCCGUUGCCAAGCAACCUUCCCAGGUUACACAGUUUCGGCUAGCCCCGGGUUCGAUUCCCGGCCGAUGCA